rnacentral:rRNA from 1 species
GACGAACGCUGGCGGCGUGCUUAACACAUGCAAGUCGAACGGAAAGGCCCUGCUUUUGUGGGUUUCUCGAGUGGCGAACGGGUGAGUAACACGUGAGUAACCUGCCCUUGACUUUGUGAUAACUUCAGGAAACUGGGGCUAAUACCGGAUAGAAGCUCCUGCUGCAUGGUGGGGGUUGGAAAGUUUCGGCGGUUGGGGCUGGACUCGCGGCUUAUCAGCUUGUUUGUGUGGUAGUUGCUUACCAAGGCUUUGACGGGUAGCCGGCAUGAGAGGUUGAACGGCGACAUGGGGACUGAGAUACGGAGCAGAAGGCUACGGGAGGCAGCAGUGGGGAACAUGGCGCAGUGGGGGGAAGCCUGAGGCAGCAACGCCGGGUGCGGGAUGACGGCCUUCGGGUUGUAAACCGCUUUCGCCUGUGACGAAGCGUGAGUGACGGUAACGGGUAAAGAAGCACCGGCUAACUACGUG